CUUUAAUAGAUCUUCCAAUUUUGUGGGCAUGGUUUUUCCCAUGUUUGUUUCAAUAUAUCAACAUAUCAUCCUUACUAAUUGAAGUUCUAAAACUAUACUUUUGACAAAUUUAAACACUUUGUUUCUCUUAAUUGGUCUAAUUUGUCAUCUUUCUCGCUUUCAUUUUCUGCUACUUGAGUGAUGCUGUAAUAUUAUGGUAGAACAAGAGGAUGAACUUAAACUAUUGAAUGUACUACUUCCUCCGAUUAGAGGACCAAAUUAAAGUGGUAUUAUUUCUUACUGAACUAUUUCAUUUUAAAAGACUUCAUUAUUUAGUUAUAUCAAUUAUUUAUUCAUACCCCUAAAUUUCAGGCAUUUGGGGCAUUUGGGAGAAAUUUGUCUGUAUGAUUAGAUUGAUUAAUUGGAGUUUAAAUAUGCUUAAUCUAGAAGAACGCAUUGAACUAAACUCGGAAUGUAUGCAUGAUUAAAGCGAUAACACUGAGGAGUGGAAGCACAUGGUGCCCCCUAGAAAGCGUGUUGUCGGUGAUUAGUAUCAGAAUGAAACUACACCUAUUCAUGAGGCUACAAAGUCUUCUAUUUCCUUUCUUCCUUUUCUCCUUCUCAUAGUUGUUACCCUCACUGAUCUGGUAAAAAGGCCGUUUGUGUAGGGGGAUUAUAUAUGCAUUGUAACUUGCUACUGUGAAUAGAAGGUGGAGACAUAUGUAGUGAAGAGGACAAAGGGAUGGGAAGAAAACUCAAGCCUAAUCCUAUGCCGUGUUUUCUUUUGUUGAGCAGGUCUGAAUUGAUAGAAAAUAAAGUUUGCAAAUAGUUGGCAUAGUUGUUACUAGCUGAGCUGUAGUUUAUCUACACUCCAAUCGGGUGCUACAAAAAGAUCUUAAGGGGACUUUAGACUUGCAAAACUACUCAAUAUAGAAGACCUUGCUUCAUCAUCAUCGGUAAGGAUGCAAUCAUUGUCUUGUCAUAAUUUCUUAGUAGAGAUGAUUUAAAGAAAUUAUGUGGGGAUAAUUUUCCUGAAUGGAUCUUCUUCUCCGCUUAUGAGCAGGUUACUUUUCCUUUUCUUUUUAUGUUUCUCCUUUUACUCUUUGUUGAUCAUUAUUGUUGUGUUGUUCUAUAAUUUAGAAUGAUGAUACCUGUGAUGGAAGAAUGAUAAGUUACUUUUUGUUUGUUUUAACAUUAAUGGUAAUUCUGGAAAUAUCGGAGAUGAUGUUACUCGAUAUGAUAGCUUUCCAGUGUGAUGCAUGGACGCUCCUUCUUUUCUCCAGUUUAAUAGACACAUUGAUGUACUUGGGUCAAGAACAACUGGAUACCUUAAGCGCAAUCUUUUCAAUAACCAAAGUAGCCAUCGGGCCUUUAUCAAAGACACAAAGACAGCUAUUACAGAGGUUUUUAAACAUGCAAACUAUAUUAAAGAAGAUAGAGGCCAGCAGAAAGAUGUCGGGUCAACUGCUGUCCUAUUAGGGGAUCGUCUCUUUGUUGCUAAUGUUGAAUAGUCCAGAAUAGUUGUAUCUAGAGUUGGUUCAGGUUGCCUAUUAUUUUUUUUUCUGUCAAUAGAUGAUUUUGGGAUAGAGGACUUGCACUUCAAAGUCGUGACAUGAUAACGGUUCCUUGAAAAUCAUUGCAAGUAGUGGAGAAUAUUUUAUCUUGUAUAGUUUGUAUAACUUUAUUUUAGGAAAUGAUGGAAUACUACUCUUG